rnacentral:lncRNA from 1 species
CCUUUUCCAGGCUCCCUGGGAAUUGGCGAAUCCAUCCUUUAUGUGCAGUGGUGGGUCACACAGAUGCACGCACACCACCUGUACGACCUCAUUGCCUGCAUUCCUUACAUGGCUGUCUCCCCCACUAAUCUGUCCUAGAGCCUAGGAACUUGGUGUGUCAACUGCAGGAUUCAGGUACAAAGUCUCAGGUAUAUCUAACCAAAGUGUUUACACAUUCAAAUGUUUAAUUUCCAUUAUAACUGGGACCCUGUUUUUCCUGAUAGGCCUUUGAUAUCCUCGAGCUUGUGAAAUUUAUUGGUCCAAAAGGCUGCAAACUUUAACAAUCAUAUUUAGGAAUUACCCAACAACCUAUACCUGUGCUGUAAUCUGACUCCAGUUUGAAUAUAAUUUAGA